rnacentral:rRNA from 1 species
UACGUAGGGUGCAGGCGUUAAUCGGAAUUACUGGGCGUAAAGGGUGCGUAGGCGGUCGGGUAAGUCUGAUGUGAAAUCUCACAGCUUAACUGUGAAACUGCAUUGGAUACUAUCCGGCUCGAGGAAUGGAGGGGAGACUGGAAUACUUGGUGUAGCAGUGAAAUGCGUAGAUAUCAAGUGGAACACCAGUGGCGAAGGCGAGUCUCUGGACAUUUCCUAACGCUGAGGCACGAAAGCCAGGGGAGCAAACGGG